AUUGAACGCUGGCGGCAGGCCUAACACAUGCAAGUCGAACGAGUGGCGGACGGGGGAGUAAUGUCUGGGAAACUGCCCGAUGGAGGGGGGUAACGAAUGGAAACGGUAGCUAAUACCGCAUACCAUCAGAGGUGAACAGAUGGGAUUAGCUAGUAGGUGGGGUAAUGGCUCACCUAGGCGACGAUCCCUAGCUGGUCUGAGAGGAUGACCAGCCACACUGGAACUGAGACACGGUCCAGACUCCUACGGGAGGCAGCAGUGGGGAAUAUUGCACAAUGGGCGCAAGCCUGAUGCAGCCAUGCCGCGUGUAUGAAGAAGGCCUUCGGGUUGUAAAGUACUUUCAGCGGGGAGGCGUUACCCGCAGAAGAAGCACCGGCUAACUCCGUGCCAGCAGCCGCGGUAAUAC
rnacentral:rRNA from 1 species